GACGAACGCUGGCGGCGUGCUUUAACACAUGCAAGUCGAACGAAAAGACGGAAAGAGCUUGCUCUUUUCAGAAUUGAGUGGCAAACGGGUGAGUAACACGUAAACAACCUGCCUUCAGGAUGGGGACAACAGACGGAAACGACUGCUAAUACCGAAUAAGUUCCAAGAGCCGCAUGGCCCAUGGAAGAAAAGGUGGCCUCUACCUGUAAGCUAUCGCCUGAAGAGGGGUUUGCGUCUGAUUAGCUGGUUGGAGGGGUAACGGCCCACCAAGGCGACGAUCAGUAGCCGGUCUGAGAGGAUGAACGGCCACACUGGAACUGAGACACGGUCCAGACUCCUACGGGAGGCAGCAGUGGGGAAUCUUCCGCAAUGGGCGAAAGCCUGACGGAGCAACGCCGCGUGAGUGAUGACGGCCUUCGGGUUGUAAAACUCUGUGAUCCGGGACGAAAAGGCAGAGUGCGAAGAACAAACUGCAUUGACGGUGCCGGAAAAGC
rnacentral:rRNA from 1 species